rnacentral:rRNA from 1 species
AGAGUUUGAUCAUGGCUCAGAAUGAACGCUGGCGGCGUGCUUAACACAUGCAAGUCGAACGAGAAAGGGAUUGCUUGCAGUCCCGAGUAGAGUGGCGCACGGGUGAGUAACACGUAGAUAAUCUGCCUUCAAGCCUGGGAUAACUAUUCGAAAGGGUAGCUAAUACCGGAUAAAGUCGAUCUACACAAGUAGAUUGAUGAAAGAUUGCCUCUUCUUGAAAGCAAUUGUUUGGAGAUGAGUUUGCGUACCAUUAGCUUGUUGGUGGGGUAAAGGCCUACCAAGGCAACGAUGGUUAGCUGGUCUGAGAGGAUGAUCAGCCACACUGGAACUGGAACACGGUCCAGACUCCUACGGGAGGCAGCAGUGAGGAAUUUUGCGCAAUGGGGGCAACCCUGACGCAGCAACGCCGCGUGAGUGAAGAAGGCCUUUGGGUCGUAAAGCUCUGUCAACAGGGAAGAAGUUACAAUUGUUUAAUAGAUGGUUGUAUUGACGGUACCUGUGGAGGAAGCGCCGGCUAACUCCGUGCCAGCAGCCGCGGUAAU